CCUACGGGUGGCUGCAGUGAGGAAUAUUGGUCAAUGGACGCAAGUCUGAACCAGCCAUGCCGCGUGCAGGAAGACGGCUCUGUGAGUUGUAAACUUCUUUUGUACGAGGGUAAACGCAGAUACGCGUAUCGUUCUGAAAGUAUCGUACGAAUAAGGAUCGGCUAACUCCGUGCCAGCAGCCGCGGUAAUACGGAGGAUUCAAGCGUUAUCCGGAUUUAUUGGGUUUAAAGGGUGCGUAGGCGGUCGGUUAAGUUAGCGGUGAAAUCCCGAGGCUCAACUUCCGAAUUGCCGUUGAUACUGGUUGGCUAGAGAGUAGUGGAGGUAUGCGGAAUGUAUGGUGUAGCGGUGAAAUGCUUAGAGAUCAUACAGAACACCGAUUGCGAAGGCAGCUUACCAGGCUACAUCUGACGUUGAGGCACGAAAGCGUGGGGAGCAAACAGGAUUAGAUACCCGAGUAGUC
rnacentral:rRNA from 1 species